rnacentral:piRNA from 1 species
UGGGAGUCAUCGGACUGGUUUCUUGUCUU